rnacentral:rRNA from 1 species
UACAGAGGGUGCAAGCGUUGUUCGGAAUUACUGGGCGUAAAGCGCGUGUAGGCUGCAAUAUAAGUCGAACGUGAAAAGCCCUCAGCUUAACUGAGGAAGUGCGUUUGAUACUGUAUCGCUAGAGUGUCGGAGGGGAUGGCGGAAUUCCCGGUGUAGAGGUGAAAUUCGUAGAUAUCGGGAGGAACACCUGUGGCGAAGGCGGCCAUCUGGACGACGCUGACGCUGAGACGCGAAAGCGUGGGUAGCAAACAGGAUUGAGAUCCC